ensembl:lncRNA
GAUGGGCCAAUCUCAUUGGAGAACGAAGAGGGGAAACGUUACAGCUGCACAAUGCUGAAGCCGGUUUUCUGCCUGACAGGCACUUAAAGCGAUUCCACUCAUGGAUGAGGUAGGGGGUGCCGGGUGGGGAGGGGGUAAUAUAUCGUUUGCAGGAAGGGGGAAGGUCGUUUCACUUCUUUAGCUCCAAGUUUCUGCGUGGUCUAGAUAGCAGUUAUUUCAAAACCUUAAAUGGAAUAGACUGUGAUAAAGGAGGAUGCUUUACUUUCUUUAUGACACUCAGAGGCUAAAAGCAUGAGACAGAGGGUUCGAUAUUCAGCCGAUCGAUGAGGGAAAAGGCACAAAGGCAAAAUCGGAUGGAGCUCCUUUUCAAAUUCACAUCUCCGAUGUCCCCCCCAGCAGUCUGCGCUGGUGCGACGCACAGGGAGCAAGGGUUACCUCAAGGCUGUUCCGUGGACCAUGCAAACAAGUCUAGACCAGUGACCUGCUCAAUCGCUCCCUUUGAGGGCCAGGCAAGUUCGGUCAGGAAGAAGAAAGCGAGGCGUGCCCUCUUUUCAUUGAGGGAGCAAGGAGGCAGACGGCGGUGUUCAAGCGAAGCUCCUCAGACUGAGCACAUCUCUGCACAGAUGAGCUGAGAG